rnacentral:rRNA from 1 species
UUUCUCAAAUCAGGUGGGACUACCCGCUGAACUUAAGCAUAUCAAUAAGCGGAGGAAAAGAAACCAACCGGGAUUGCCUCAGUAACGGCGAGUGAAGCGGCAAAAGCUCAAAUUUGGAACCGCUUUUAGCGGGUUGUAAUUUGAAGGCGUUUACUGGGACGGGGCGCUGCCUAUGUUCCUUGGAACAGGACGUCACAGAGGGUGAGAAUCCCGUGUGGCGGCGACCCUUGUGCCGUGAAGUGAGCGCCGACGAGUCGAGUUGUUUGGGAAU